UACGGGGGGGGCAAGCGUUGUUCGGAAUUACUGGGCGUAAAGGGCUCGUAGGCGGCCAACUAAGUCAUACGUGAAAUCCCCAGGCUCAACCUGGGAACUGCGUCUGAUACUGGUUGGCUUGAAUCCGGGAGAGGGAUGCAGAAUUCCAGGUGUAGCGGUGAAAUGCGCAGAUAUCGGGAAGAACACCUAUGGCGAAGGCAGCUCUCUGGGACGGUACUGACGCUGAGACGCGAAAGCGUGGGGAGCGAACAGG
rnacentral:rRNA from 1 species